rnacentral:rRNA from 1 species
AGUGAACGCUGGCGGUAGGCCUAACACAUGCAAGUCGAACGGCAGCACAGUAAGAGCUUGCUCUUACGGGUGGCGAGUGGCGGACGGGUGAGGAAUACAUCGGAAUCUACUUUUUCGUGGGGGAUCACGUAGGGAAACUUACGCUAAUACCGCAUACGACCUACGGGUGAAAGCAGGGGAUCUUCGGACCUUGCGCGAUUGAAUGAGCCGAUGUCGGAUUAGCUAGUUGGCGGGGUAAAGGCCCACCAAGGCGACGAUCCGUAGCUGGUCUGAGAGGAUGAUCAGCCACACUGGAGCUGAGACACGGUCCAGACUCCUACGGGAGGCAGCAGUGGGGAAUAUUGGACAAUAGGCGCAAGCCUGAUCCAGUCAUACCGCGUGGGUGAAGAAGGCCUUCGGGUUGUAAAGCCCUUUUGUUGGGAAAGAAAAGCAGCAGGUUAAUACCCCGCUGUUCUGACGGUACCCAAAGAAUAAGCACCGGCUAACUUCGUG